rnacentral:lncRNA from 1 species
AAAGCUCUAACCCAGUGCCCCAAGCCUUAGGUCUUCCAUACCCCGGCAGCGGGCCCCGCCCCUCGGUUUCCCAACCUGCCUGACCCCGCCCUGCCUCUCCUAACUCCUCCCAGGCCCCGCCUCCGCCGCUUCCCACAGCCCUUCCCGUCGGCUCCUGGCUCCAGGCUCCCACCCGGCUCGGCGGAGGUGGAAGCGCGCAGGCGCCGUUGGCGGCAGGCAGAGUGCGGAGUAGCGGCGCGGGGUGCGCGAGGGAUUCAUCAUCCAAGGAUCUACCGGAGACCACAGGAAAACAUGGGAAUGAAAUAGACAUCUUGCCUCCUGAGAUUACUGCAUCACACAGAGUAUCACUGAAACUGUUGGGCAGGCUGGAUGGACAGCUCUUUGUGGACUCUGCCCUUUGCUGCAUGGAUAAGUUGUUUUUAUUAAAAGAGAAAUUGCCUUAAUAUGGGUUCAUGUCUGCAAUGGAUAGGGGUAUGCAUGCAUCUGGACAUGAUGUCUUUGUGUAUAGUUGUAUAAUGUUUAGAUUGCUUAUGAAGUAUUUCAAAGUGAGACUCUUUACCCUUGUACAACCUAGAUAAUGGCUAUAUGGAAAGUAACAUGUAUUCUCUAAUUUCUCUGGCGUUUAUAACUGACUAGAACCCUCUGAAUGAGGGUUAGAGAAGAGUUUUAUCCAAACUUCUGUAUGUAGAGGUAUCAUAAAUAUGCUGUAUACUUAAAGUUUGUGGAAUUAAUUAAUGUAUUUCACUAUGGUUCCCAGUGCUAAAAUUGGACUUCAAGGUCCCUACAGAUUGAUUGUGUUGGAGCAGACUGGUGGCAUGCCCCAGGCUUUGGGGGCAAGUGUAGAAAUGCCAUCAGAUCACAGUUUAAUAAUUUCUUGCGAGGUGUGAAUUCAGUCAUGGUGUCAAUUGAAAACUAUUUUAACCUUUAAAAAAAUUAAAAAAAAAAACGUUUACCGUGGACCAUUGUUAAAGUCUAUUGAAUUUGUUACGGUAUUGUUUCUGUUCGGUGUUUUUGGUUCUGUGGUCUUAGCUCCUCAACCAGGGAUUGAACACACACCCCUGCAUUGGAAGGCAAAGUCUUAACCACUUGACCACCAGGGGAGUCCCCUAUUUUAACCUUUUUUGCAAGCAGAUUCUGUAAUAUGUUUCUGUAUGUAGUCUUGCUCUUCAGUCAAGGGGGUUUACUUAUGAUGACCUAAUGGUACCCUGCCCUCUCUCCAGCUCUAGUCAAUCAUUUCCAAGUACCUAGUAUUUCUACUUCAUUGGGCAAAGCAUUUACCACUCUGUGCCUCAGUUUACUCAGUAGUUUGCCAUUAGACUGAGCUCCUUGAGGGACUUUAUCUUAUUGUUAAACCCACUGCCUUGCACCAACAUCUGGCACGUAAAAAGUGCUCCAUAAAUGUUUGAACAAAUCAGUGAGUGAGUCAGUGAAUGGUAAAAUUAGACUAAUAAUACUUGGCUUAUGUAGCAUACAAGGUUCUUGUAUCAUUGAAAUUCAUAUCUUAAGCUUCUCUUGCUUUCAAAGAAAGAAUUGAAGCAACAUGAAAUUAAGACCAUGUAUAAAAAGAGCAUAGGAAUCAAAAAUUAAAAUAUUGGAAGAUAAUACUGAGCAUUUAGGAAUUGCACACCUGUGAGCUCCAGUGGCUUUUGCCAGUCCUGCCCCUCUGCUGAACACCAGCCUCCUCCCUCCUAGUAGUCCCUGCCGACUGCCUCUGCCAGUCUGGGACUCCUCAUUGUGCUCCUUGGGCACAGGUGAUGAACAUGAGAGUUUCAGCAGAAGGUGUGUGUAUCGGUCAGGUGCCCCUUGGACAGGGCCAGGCUGUGCAUUAUAGAGUUGGCAGCUGUCACUUAUAUGUGAUGGCUAAACAUGAGAGUGGAUGAGGUCACCUAAUAAGAGGGAAGGAGAAGAGGAGAGGCCAGUUAACAUUUAUUUUAAGGGAAAAGACAGCAGAAAAAGCCUUUCCUGAGAGGGAAGAAUGAGAGGAAGGGGAAAAACAACUGAAGAAGGUGGUGCCCCCAAAAUCCAACAAAGGAAGCAUGGCCACAAGUGAUAGCAUCCUUUCUAAAUAGCAGUUUCUUACUUGUGAGAUAUGACAAAUACUCUACUUUUCAAAAUGUUCUGAGUAAAAUGAGAUCAUGUAAACAAAAGCCCUCUGUAAACUCGUAAAUAACCUCAAAGGGCCUCCUGUCUCUUUCCUCUUCAGAUCCACCAACUUUCACUUCUUGUUGCUGUCAGUGUGUUGAUCUAGUUCAGCUCACCCCUAGUCCCUUCUACUUCUCAGCUUUCAUGUGCGAAAGAAGCUUUCCAGUCUUAUAGCCAGGCUCGUGGAUGAGGG